rnacentral:tRNA from 1 species
GCCUCAACAGCUCAGUCGGUAGAGCAUCAGACCUCUAACCUGAGGGUCCAGGGUUCAAGUCCCUAUUCAAGUG